UACGGAGGGGGCUAGCGUUGUUCGGAAUUACUGGGCGUAAAGCGCGCGUAGGCGGCUCUGCAAGUCGGGGGUGAAAUCCCGAGGCUCAACCUCGGAACUGCCUUCGAUACUGCGGGUCUCGAGUCCGGGAGAGGUGAGUGGAAUUCCUAGUGUAGAGGUGAAAUUCGUAGAUAUUAGGAAGAACACCAGUGGCGAAGGCGGCUCACUGGCCCGGUACUGACGCUGAGGUGCGAAAGCGUGGGGAGCAAACAGG
rnacentral:rRNA from 1 species